UAGCUAAAUCUGAUUUAAGUUGAUAAUGUUUCGAUGAAAAUUAUGAAAUUUCAGUUUUUCAAUAUCUCUUGAUACAAUUUCUGAAGGAAUGGACAUGAUUUCUAUUUAUGAGUCGAUCAUAUCUUUUUGAUUGAAGGAUUCUAGUUUCAAUUUAACAAUGCGUAUGCAGCUAUGGCCUUUUUUCUGAAUGGAUCUGCUAACUGAGGGUUGUGUUUUCUGGUUUUUUGUAACUUUUUUUGUGUCAAAUUACUGAAUUAUGCUCUUAUUUUGAAACUACUGAAUUGAUUGAUGCUAGAGUGCGAUCAAUUUGACAUGUAAACAAUGGUUAUUCUGAAUACUUGACCAAUAAACGUUCAUUUUUUAUAUUUGAUCCACAUAUCGGUGCCAAAGCAUCUUAUUUUAUCUGUUUGAACAGACUUUCGAUGGAAAUAGUACGAAUUCAUUCGAUGACAGUUAAUAUUUUAGCCAUUGUCACAUUGCAUUUCCUUCUAUAAACAGAGGCUGGAUAAUUGGAUAAUUUAGAGCUUCUAUUUCCAUUUAAGAAACUGGGUUCUAUUAAUGAAAGUUGGAAACUUUACAGGCUUUAAAAAGGUGAAAAAAGUGAGGCAUGUAGAGAAAAGAGACUUGAGAAAAAAA
rnacentral:lncRNA from 1 species